UACGGAGGGGGCUAGCGUUGUUCGGAAUUACUGGGCGUAAAGCGCGCGUAGGCGGAUCUGCAAGUCGGGGGUGAAAUCCUGGAGCUCAACUCCAGAACUGCCUUCGAUACUGGAAAGCUCGAGUCCGGGAGAGGUGAGUGGAACUGCGAGUGUAGAGGUGAAAUUCGUAGAUAUUCGCAAGAACACCAGUGGCGAAGGCGGCUCACUGGCCCGGUACUGACGCUGAGGUGCGAAAGCGUGGGGAGCAAACAGG
rnacentral:rRNA from 1 species